CAAAGAAAAGGAAGAGUAUCUUCGGAAAAACGAAUAAGCAAAGAGUUAUUUUUCAAAUGCAUCGUUCCGCGGAUUUGCCUAUUUUUCAUAAUGUGACUUCGCUUGAAAUCGAAACAGUGAAAACAAUCAAAAGAAAUCUAGUCUAAUGUAAACUUUAUUUGUGAAAAGGCCUUAAUCUUUAUCUGUCUGUGAAAGGGGUAUUAAAAAAAUUGUAUUAAAGACUAUAGAGAAUCUCAAAACGAGCUCUCCCGCUCUCAAGCAGAAACACGAAGAAAAUUAUUGAUGUAAAACAAGUCUCAAAUCCGUGAAAUGAUGCCAAAACAGUUUACAGAGAGAAGAGGAGAGAAUGCAAGUGAAAAUGGGAUAGCAAAGCGAAGAGAAUGAGAACAAUGAGUGUUUGAGAGUAGGAAUAAAUUUUACAAAUUAGUCAUUGAAUUGCAAGGAACUUUGUUAUAUCUACAUUUGUAAAACAUUCUGAUACUGAGUCACACCUGGAUUUUUAUUAUAUAUGGUUUAAUAUGUUACUUGAGUAUCAGAGCUACAUCUGUCAAGAAAAUUUCAGAAUACGAGUCAAGCAUCGUUUUCGAUUUUAUCUUCUGUCAAAACCGGGGCAAAGAACAGUCCUGCUCUAUGUGUGUAAGCCCAUACAGCUUAACGAAGAACACUAUACUAUACAAUUACGGAAUACUAAAUAAAAGUAAGCCAGACCGUUAAAAA